UCUCCCCUGGUGCAGCUUGAGGCCAUCCUGUCACUGGUCACCUGGGAGAAGAGGCUGAUCCCAACCUGGUACAACCUCCUGUCAGGGAGCUGUAAAGAGCAAUGAGAUCUCCAAUGUUCACAUAAAGAAAAGAAUCAAAUAUUGAAGACAAGUGUGUCUAAAUAUUUGAGAUAAUCUGGCAUAGAAAGUAUUAACAGGAGUUUCUUCAGUAGUUUCUUCCAAUAAGAAAAGGCAGCCUGAAGGCAGAGACAUGCUAAUUAAGGGAAGGAGAGCUCCCCAAGAGAUCUUAUAACAGCUGAGAAACACGAACAUGCCUACAUUUGUCUCUGGCCUUCAUUAUAAAAGAGUUGGUCUGACAAUCAAACUGAAAGCUUGAAACUCUGUGGAAUGUCCUGCACAGUAAAACCUCCUGUGCAUUGUUACAAGAACCACCUUGCCCCACACUCAGUGUGUUUCUCUCACCACUUGGGACAAGACCCAGAAAGGCAGCUGGGCCAUCCUGGCUCCAGCAGGGAGGUUGUCAUUGCUGUCAGCUCGGGAGUCUGUGUUCCAGUCCAUCAUCUUCUGGCCAAGACUGUGAUGCUCUUAUAAACAAGGAGACAGAUUAUAAACUGACUUGAUGUAGUGUAAUGAUGGAAGUGACAUACAUGGAAACAACACCUUCUCUCUUCUGGCUGUGUCUCAUAAUCUCUCUCUGCCUUCCCCCAUGAUUUGAUUUUUUCUAUUUAUUCUCUUCCAUAUGUUUCUGUAUAAUGG